rnacentral:misc_RNA from 1 species
UUCUACAGCUUAUACAGAACAAGCGUAAGCCAGAUGGUACUGAAGACGAAUAUGGAGAGUUUUUGCACCUUUCGGGGAAGCGAUUCUAUGAUUUCAAUGAAAUUCGUAGGGAAAUUCAGGCGGAGACAGAGCGGGAAGCGGGAGCGAAUAAGGGUGUUUCAGAUAAGCAGAUACGUUUGAAGAUUUUCUCACCAAAUGUUCUUGAUAUUACUCUUGUGGAUUUGCCGGGCAUAACAAAGGUCCCUGUUGGUGACCAGCCUUCUGAUAUUGAAGCGCGAAUCAGAACUAUGAUAAUGUCUUAUAUUAAACGUCCAAGCUGCUUAAUACUAGCCGUAACACCUGCUAAUGCUGACUUAGCCAACUCAGAUGCUCUUCAGAUUGCUGGGAAUGCUGACCCUGAUGGUUAUCGAACUAUUGGCGUCAUCACAAAGUUGGACAUCAUGGAUAGGGGUACUGAUGCUCGUAACUUUUUACUUGGAAAAGUGAUUCCCCUUCGCCUUGGUUAUGUUGGAAUAGUGAAUCGUAAUCAGGAGGAUAUUACGAUGAAUCGGAGUAUUAAGG